rnacentral:rRNA from 1 species
UACGUAGGGUGCAAGCGUUGUCCGGAAUUAUUGGGCGUAAAGAGCUCGUAGGUGGCCUGUCGCGUCGGCUGUGAAAACCCGGGGCUCAACCCCGGGCCUGCAGUCGAUACGGGCAGGCUAGAGUUCGGCAGGGGAGACUGGAAUUCCUGGUGUAGCGGUGAAAUGCGCAGAUAUCAGGAAGAACACCCGUGGCUAAGGCGGCUCUCUAGUACGGUACUGACGCUGAGACGCGAAAGCGUGGGGAGCGAACAGG